rnacentral:rRNA from 1 species
UACGGAGGGUGCAGGCGUUAUCCGGAUUCACUGGGUUUAAAGGGUGCGUAGGUGGGCAGUUAAGUCAGUGGUGAAAUCUCCGGGCUCAACCCGGAAACUGCCAUUGAUACUAUCUGUCUUGAAUAUCGUGGAGGUAAGCGGAAUAUGUUAUGUAGCGGUGAAAUGCUUAGAUAUGACAUAGAACACCAAUUGCGAAGGCAGCUUACUACCCGAAUAUUGACACUGAGGCACGAAAGCGUGGGGAUCAAACAGG